GGUGACAAUGCAGCAAAAUCCGAGGGCUCAAACAAUGUGGUCCCUCCAUCCCCGGUUCCAGGGCAUUCUGAUUGCUCUGUCGGUUUGACGUGCCGGCCACUUGGCUGAUUUUCAGAGCCAUGAUGCGCGGUGUCUCUGUCUUGCACACAGAGGCUGGGCACCAUAACUUCUUCCCUGCCGAAUUUCAGCGCGUAGGGGGAGCUGGCAGGGACACAGGCUGCAGAGAUGCCCGGCUUCCUGUGGUUCCGGGCACAGCGCGCCUCAGUCUGCAUUGGGCUGACACCAGAUAGCAUGUGGGGAUUUUCCUAGUUGCCGAAGAAGAUAUUAUUUGACGUUGCUGUAGUUCUGUGCUUACUUCUCUUGGAAUCUGCAGUGGUGCAAUUCUCCCCUUGUUUUUCCCCCCUUCUCUUUGAAAAGAUAUCAAUGCUAUGUUCAGCAGAAAUGGAUACAGCAAGAGCAGCAUAGUUCAAAAACUGAGGGAGGCAUCUUCUCUCUUUUCCUGGGAUUUAAACGCGAUUUAGGAGGGCAGAUGCCCUACCCGAGAAGGCCAACCUUUAAAGACCCCGGCAGUGUUGUGGUCCAAGGCGUCUCAAAGCAGGUGGGCAGAUCUGCGUUUCUCAUCAGCGGACUCGCUCCGGCUGUGGCUAUUACGAAUCUGUACCAGAACAGAUUUUUAGGCCUGGCCGCCAUGGCGUCUCCUUCUAGAAACUCCCAGAGCCGACGCCGGUGCAAGGAGCCGCUCCGAUACAGCUACAACCCCGACCAGUUCCACAACAUGGACCUCAGGGGCGGCCCCCAUGAUGGCGUCACCAUUCCCCGCUCCACCAGCGACACUGACCUGGUCACCUCGGACAGCCGCUCCACGCUUAUGGUCAGCAGCUCCUACUAUUCCAUCGGGCACUCUCAGGACCUGGUCAUCCACUGGGACAUAAAGGAGGAAGUGGACGCUGGGGACUGGAUUGGCAUGUACCUCAUUGAUGAGGUCUUGUCUGAAAACUUUCUGGACUAUAAAAACCGUGGAGUCAAUGGUUCUCAUCGGGGCCAGAUCAUCUGGAAGAUCGAUGCCAGCUCGUACUUUGUGGAACCUGAAACUAAGAUCUGCUUCAAAUACUACCAUGGAGUGAGUGGGGCCCUGCGAGCAACCACCCCCAGUGUCACGGUCAAAAACUCGGCAGCUCCUAUUUUUAAAAGCAUUGGCACUGAUGAGACUGUCCAAGGACAAGGAAGUCGGAGGCUGAUCAGCUUCUCUCUCUCAGAUUUCCAAGCCAUGGGGUUGAAGAAAGGGAUGUUUUUCAACCCAGACCCUUAUCUGAAGAUUUCCAUUCAGCCUGGGAAGCACAGCAUCUUCCCCGCUCUCCCUCACCAUGGACAGGAGAGGAGAUCCAAGAUCAUAGGCAACACCGUGAACCCCAUCUGGCAGGCCGAGCAAUUCAGUUUUGUGUCCUUGCCCACUGACGUGCUGGAAAUUGAGGUGAAGGACAAGUUUGCCAAGAGCCGCCCCAUCAUCAAGCGCUUCUUGGGAAAGCUGUCGAUGCCCGUUCAAAGACUCCUGGAGAGACACGCCAUAGGGUAAACCUGUGACUGAGAUCUUACUAUCACUAGGUUCCCGCCAACAUGCCGUGCCCAAAGGUGGCCUGUAGGCUGCAAUAGUAUAGUCUCACAGAGAGUCAAAAUGUUAUCAUUAUAUGUCCUUGGCUUUUCCUACUAAUUAUGUUGCCUGAGCCAACAUAAGUGUUUGUUAGAUUAAACAAACCCAUCCCUUUUCACUUGAUUGUGUAACACUGGUUACUUACCCAAGAGAGUAAAAAAUCCUAUUGAAAGUAUUAAACAGUAUUAAAAGAAGCCCUCAAUGGGGCAUUUUUCUGUACAGAUAGAAACUAAAGUUUGUUUUACUAUGAAGAAUAUUAUUUCAUUCAUAUGCCGGUCUGGUAUGUAAGAUUUAAUCAUAUGUGACAUUUCCAUAACAAGAUGAAAUACUGGGUAACUACUGUAGAGUGUCUUACUUAGAAGACACUAGUAUCUGCAGAUGCUAGAUAACAUGGAUGAGAAUUUGAAAGCAUGAUUCUCAUGGAAUGACAGCAGUUAAGAUGCUCACAAAAUUCAGUUGUAUAUGAGAAUGGGUUUCUGUUUUGUCUCUUUUACAUUCAUGUCCACUCAUGGUUCUCAUUAAAGUGGACUAUGACCAGAU
rnacentral:sRNA from 1 species